CAGGGAGAGUCUCUACCUUCAAGUUCUCCGGGUUAUAUGGCCUUUUCAAACCUGAAAUUUAGAGUGACAAGUCACAGAAGAAACAAAGGCCACUGUAGAGACAAAUAAGAAGACGUGUGAGUGUUUCAGAGAGAGAUUUCACAGUGAAUACAGAUGCAUGGCUAAUUCAUCAAGGAAGGUAUCCUAUGUCAGAAAGAUACAGAAGCUCCAGCUGGGCUCAGGAAUAGUUUUCAUGAUUCAACUUAUUGAAAUAAACAAACAGAAAGCUAGUCGACAAAAACUUCCCAUUCUGAAGGUACAGAGAGCAUUUCUCCACUGCUGUUUGAGCAAUUUUGCAUCCUGCCAUCCAUCUCAUGAUGACUUCGAAGUCACCAUUGCUGAUUCUGGUAUCAAAAAAAAAAAAAAAAAAAAAAGGAAAAACCUAAAUGUGAAGAAAAUCUAUAGCUAUUGAAUUUGCACUUAUAUCAUGUUAAUGGAACAUAUUAUUCAGCAAGCCUGUGUCCUCUGCAUAAACAUAGUUCUUUUUAGUUCACGUUCUGAGUACUUCUGCAAAUACUGUAUUUGAAUGCUUAGUGUUUCUUAAACUACAAAAUGUUUUACUCCCUUUGUUCUUUUUGUUCAACUCUUAUAUGCUAGCUGCUCAGAGUUAACCUAAACUAUCCAUGUAUUCUGACCUGUAACUGUAAGAGACAAAGAAAAGAGUAGUGAUUUCGGCUUCCCGGAAUUUUAGAUUUGUAUUUAAUUAGCUUUCUAUAAAGAGUGCUGGUAACUAGGAUUUGUUCUUCACUUGUAGAUGUUACCCUUCUUUAGUAGCAAUAGCUAUUUAGCAUUGUCAUAUGUAAAAGACAUAUCUUUUACAUAUGAUGAUCUAACAUCAUCAAGCAUGUGGAAGGAGAUAGCAAGUGGCAGAUAGUUUGCAAGUACGAGUGCCAUUGGUUGUGACAGGAUGGUGGAUUUUUUGCUAAGUUUAGAAUCCCCUUAGGCGUAUUGAGGUUCAAGUACCAUUAACUCUUGGCAAAAUUCUCCUUCCUAAUUCAAAGAAGAAAGGAUUACUAAAGCUCAUAAAAAGGAUUCUCAAAUUUCAAAUAGCUUUUAAAAAACAUUUAAUGAGUUAAUACUAAUUGAAUCAGAAACAUAUGGAUGAAAUUUUUCUUGAAAUUCAUAAGGGUUUAAUAUUAAGGGAGAGGUAAUUCAGCAAAACCACCUAAGACUAGUCAAUCUCAAUGUUUUAAGACCAACUUGUAACACCUGUGAAUCUUCAUCACCACUCACUUUUCUUUGUCCAAAGAGUUUUGUGGUUUGGGUAGUAUUGUGUUGUCUAUAAUUCUACCAAUGGAUAAUAUAUCAGUCAAUGGAAGAAUUCAUUACAGCUGCUGCAUAUAUCACAAGAUUGAUCUAUUUAUCUAUAUGCAAUUUAACUAUGUAUUACCUUCUCUGGAACUGGUUUUUCAACCUGUUCAACCAAUAUGGACAUUUUAAAACAAAUCUAAUCACAUGCAGUUUCACAAUAUAGUCAGACGGGGAGCAGGAAAAAUAGGGUCUUCAGUCCUAUCUACAGUAGCUCUUAAGCUACUCCUUAAGCACCCCUGUAGAAUUAUGGAAUACAAUUUAUACAUCUUUGAUCUAGAAUCUAGUCAAGAAUAAGGAAACAUACAAAGUAAAGGGGAGGGGCUGAUUUCUAAGAAGCUAAAAUGAACAUUACAGAGUCUGUGAAAUUAUUUAAAAAUUCCUUCAUCAGAACCUUUAUGUCCUUACUUUAUGAAUAAUUCUCACAAGCUUUGAUAUUUAGUCUCUAUAUCCACAGAAGAUUGGCAGUAACAAAUUGGGAGAAAUACAAUAUUGGGAGAAAUACAAUAUAGGAAGGAUUGAUGGAAGGAAACAGGAAAAGAAAGAUCUAGACAAUUUUUUAAAUGUUUAGCAAGUCUCUCUUUUUAGCUUUGGGAGAAAUAGCCGAUUACCUUGUAUAUUUUCAGAAUAUCAGUGCCUCAAAUGCAAUAUAUUAAGUGGCAUGCAUAAUUAAGACCUUAAUAUUUAUGUUCAUUAAUACCCUAGAGCCAUAGCAACUAGCG